rnacentral:rRNA from 1 species
UACGAAGGGGGCUAGCGUUGCUCGGAAUCACUGGGCGUAAAGGGUGCGUAGGCGGGUCUUUAAGUCAGGGGUGAAAUCCUGGAGCUCAACUCCAGAACUGCCUUCGAUACUGGAGAGCUCGAGUCCGGGAGAGGUGAGUGGAACUGCGAGUGUAGAGGUGAAAUUCGUAGAUAUUCGCAAGAACACCAGUGGCGAAGGCGGCUCACUGGCCCGGUACUGACGCUGAGAUGCGAAAGCGUGGGGAGCAAACGGG